rnacentral:rRNA from 1 species
GGGGGGAAACGUCCGGAACGGGCGCUAAUACCGCAUACGUCCUGAGGGAGAAAGUGGGGGAUCUUCGGACCUCACGCUAUCAGAUGAGCCUAGGUCGGAUUAGCUAGUUGGUGGGGUAAAGGCCUACCAAGGCGACGAUCCGUAACUGGUCUGAGAGGAUGAUCAGUCACACUGGAACUGAGACACGGUCCAGACUCCUACGGGAGGCAGCAGUGGGGAAUAUUGGACAAUGGGCGAAAGCCUGAUCCAGCCAUGCCGCGUGUGUGAAGAAGGUCUUCGGAUUGUAAAGCACUUUAAGUUGGGAGGAAGGGCAGUAAGUUAAUACCUUGCUGUUUUGACGUUACCAACAGAAUAAACACCGGCUAACUUCGUGCCAACAGCGGCGGGAAUACGAAAGGUGUAAGCGUUUAUCGCAAUUACUGGGCGUAA